rnacentral:misc_RNA from 1 species
AAGUCGUAACAAGGUUUCCGUAGGUGAACCUGCGGAAGGAUCAUUAAUGAGUUAGGGUCUCCGGGCCCGACCUCCAACCCUUUGUUGUCACAAAACCAAUUGUUGCUUUGGCGUGGACCGCCCGCGAGGGCUGCCGGUCUUAGGCCCGGCAUGCGCCCGCCAGAGGAAAACCAAACUCUUGUUUUAACCAUAUCGUCCGAGUAAAUUGAUAAAUCAAUUAAAA